CCUGGUCCGACGACGUCAGCGGCGUCACCAUGGUGGACACCCAGGUGAAGCCCCGUGACGUUCUGCUCAAGUGCUCGCUAGACCAGGCCGGCACGCGGGCCUCCAUCGUCGUCGCGUGGCAGCCGCCCGUCAACGCGGCCGGCGUCCGCCAGUACACGGUCACGGUGACAGGCAAGUCCGAGUACUUCGACA